AUUGAACGCUGGCGGCAUGCCUUACACAUGCAAGUCGAACGGUAACGCGGGGCAACCUGGCGACGAGUGGCGAACGGGUGAGUAACGCAUCGGAACGUGCCCAGUAGUGGGGGAUAGCCCGGCGAAAGCCGGAUUAAUACCGCAUACGACCUACGGGUGAAAGGGGGGGAUCGCAAGACCUCUCGCUAUUGGAGCGGCCGAUGUCAGAUUAGGUAGUUGGUGGGGUAAAGGCCUACCAAGCCUGCGAUCUGUAGCUGGUCUGAGAGGACGACCAGCCACACUGGGACUGAGACACGGCCCAGACUCCUACGGGAGGCAGCAGUGGGGAAUUUUGGACAAUGGGCGCAAGCCUGAUCCAGCCAUGCCGCGUGCGGGAAGAAGGCCUUCGGGUUGUAAACCGCUUUUGUCAGGGAAGAAAAGCCUUGGGUUAAUACCCUGGGGUGAUGACGGUACCUGAAGAAUAAGCACCGGCUAACUACGUGCCAGCCGCCGCCGUAA
rnacentral:rRNA from 1 species